UACGGGGGGAGCAAGCGUUGUUCGGAUUUACUGGGCGUAAAGGGCGCGUAGGCGGUCGUGACAAGUCACUUGUGAAAUCUCCGGGCUUAACUCGGAACGGUCAAGUGAUACUGUCGGACUAGAGUACAGAAGGGGCAACUGGAAUUCUCGGUGUAGCGGUGAAAUGCGUAGAUAUCGGGAGGAACACCUGCGGCGAAGGCGGGUUGCUGGGCUGAUACUGACGCUGAGGCGCGAAAGCCAGGGGAGCGAACGGG
rnacentral:rRNA from 1 species